CAGUAUUGUAUAGCUUUCAGCAUACAACUCCUGUAUAUGUUUUGUUAAAUUUAUACCCAAGUAUCCCCCUUUUGGGAGCAACUGUAAGUGGUACCGUAUUUUUAAUUUUGGUGUCCAUGUGUUCAUUGCUGUCACAAUGGAUUACAAUAGCUCCAUUAUGUCACAAUAGAUUUUUGUAUGUUUAUCUGGUACCCUGUGAAACAAAGUUACUCAUUAGUUCUAGAAGUUUCUUCUUUUUUUAGUAGAGUCCUAGAGAUUUUCUAUGUAGACCAUCAUGUUAUCUGCACAUUGGGGCCGUUUUUCUUUUCUUAUCUGUCUGCUUUUGAUUUCCUUUUUCUUGCCUUGUUGCACUGGCUGAAACUUUCAGAACUAUGCUGAGUAAGAGUGGUAAGUGGCAGACAGAAUCCUGAGUCUUCUGAGGUUUCAUCCCAGCUCUUAUUCCCAAAGAGUGACUCUUGUGGUGGCAUCUCAGGCCCUGAGGCCAGCCUUACUGCAGGAGGAUCACAGGUUCAGGAAAAAUUGAACAUAGUCAUUCCCAUCCAACGUGGAAUAGACCCAGCAGCUCUCCAUGAGGACAGUUGGGGCUCUCAGCAGAGUGGUCCCAGGUGGCUUCUUGGAACAGAUGUUCCCGGCUCCUUCCUGCAUCGAAAACAAACAGGCGCUGUGUUGUCAUUUGCUCUCCUGGGGAAAAUCCCUCUGCUGCCGCAGAUCCUUCUUGAGAGGCUCAGGGACGUCUGUGAAGUCUCUCCAGGCUGUUCCUUGCCAGGAAUUUGCCUCCAGAUGGAUGGCAGGUCUUCCGAGCCUCAUCUGAAGAAAUGGAAACACCAGCCCCCAGUGGCUCCUUCUGAUCUCCCAUCCUGCCAGCCCCAUGUCCAAAGCAUUGGCAAAUCCUUCGGUCGUGUUUACAACACAGUUGGCGGCCUCUCUCCCACUCUGGUGCCACUGCCACUCUGCUCCAAGCCACCACCAUCACUACCUGGACGACCGCAGUAGAUGCCUGAAUGGUCUCCCUGCCCUAAUUCGUCCCUUCACACCAGCCAGGGAGGAGUGCUUUCCUCAAGAUUUUUGGAAUACCUGCUUUGUUCUCAGUCUUUUGAUGGGGAUUCAUAAGAGUAUAAGAGAAAGAAAU
rnacentral:lncRNA from 1 species